rnacentral:misc_RNA from 1 species
GAUGAAGAACGCAGCGAAAUGCGAUAAGUAAUGUGAAUUGCAGAAUUCAGUGAAUCAUCGAAUCUUUGAACGCACAUUGCGCCCCUUGGUAUUCCGAGGGGCAUGCCUGUUCGAGCGUCAUUACACCACUCAAGCUAUGCUUGGUAUUGGGCGUCGUCCUUAGUUGGGCGCGCCUUAAAGACCUCGGCGAGGCCACUCCGGCUUUAGGCGUAGUAGAAUUUAUUCGAACGUCUGUCAAAGGAGAGGAACUCUGUCGACUGAAACCUUUAUUUUUCUAGGUUGACCUCGGAUCAGGUAGGGAUACCCGCUGAACUUAAGCAUAUCAAUAAGCGGAGGA